GGGUUAAGUCCCGCAACGAGCGCAACCCUUGUCAUUAGUUGCUACGAAAGGGCACUCUAAUGAGACUGCCGGUGACAAACCGGAGGAAGGUGGGGAUGACGUCAAGUCCUCAUGGCCCUUAUAGGUGGGGCUACACACGUCAUACAAUGGCUGGUACAGAGGGUUGCCAACCCGCGAGGGGGAGCUAAUCCCAUAAAACCAGUCGUAGUCCGGAUCGCAGUCUGCAACUCGACUGCGUGAAGUCGGAAUCGCUAGUAAUCGCGGAUCAGCAUGUCGCGGUGAAUACGUUCCCGGGUCUUGUACACACCGCCCGUCACACCAUGGGAGCGGGUUCUGCCAGAAGUAGUUAGCCUAACCGCAAGGAGGGCGAUUACCACGGCAGGGUUCGUGACUGGGGUGAAGUCGUAACAAGGUAGCCGUAUCGGAAGGUGCGGCUGGAUCACCUCCUUU
rnacentral:rRNA from 1 species